rnacentral:rRNA from 1 species
AUUGAACGCUGGCGGCAGGCCUAACACAUGCAAGUCGAACGAGUGGCGGACGGGUGAGUCAUGUCUGGGAAACUGCCUGCUGGAGGGGGAUAACUACUGGAAACGGUAGCUAAUACCGCAUACCCUCGGAUGUGCCCAGAUGGUAUUAGCUAGUAGGUGGGGUAAAGGCUCAACUAGGCGACGAUCCCUAGCUGGUCUGAGAGGAUGACCAGACACACGGGAACUGAGACACGGUCCAUACUCCUACGGGAGGCAGCAGUGGGGAAUAUUGGACAAUGGGCGCAAGCCUGAUGCAGCCAUGCCGCGUGUAUGAAGAAGGCCUUCGGGUUGUAAAGUACGUUCAGCGGGGAGGCGUGACCCGCAGAAGAAGCACCGGCUAACUCCGUGCCAGCAGCCGCGGUAAUUC